rnacentral:misc_RNA from 1 species
GUGAAUCAUCAAAUCUUUGAACGCAAAUUGCACUCUCUGGUAUUCCGGGGAGUAUGCUUGCUUGAGGGUUAGUUUGUUACAAUCGUAAAAAGAAAUUUUUACGGAUCUGGAUUUUCCAAAAGUUAUAUUUUUGUAAUCUAAAAUUUAACAUUACAAUAGGUUGUUUUGGAAAAGUUUUUUUUUGAUUCAUUUACCAUUAUUACCAAAUUCGUUACGGCGUGUUAUUUUUCUAAUUUUUUUAUUUAGUUAAAGUAAU